rnacentral:rRNA from 1 species
AAAUUAAUAAAAACGGCCCUAAAGCGUGAGUAAAUUAUAUAAAUAAAAUAGAAAUAAAAAUCACUCUGACUGUUAUACGUAUAUGUUAAACGGUAAACCAGAAACGAAAGAUAUUCUAACAAAUAAACUACUUGAACCCGACAAAGAUAAGCAACAAACUAGGAUAGAUACCCUACUAUGCUUAGCCUUAAACUUUGGAACAACCCGCCUGAGUACUACGAGCCACAGCUUAAAACUCAAAGGACUUGGCGGUGCUCUACACCCCCCUAGAGGAGCCUGUUCUAUAAUUGAUACUCCCCGUUAAACCUCACCACUUAUUGCCAAUACCGCUUAUAUACCGCCGUCGUCAGCUCACCAUUUAAAUGAAAAAUAGUAGGCAUAAUGAUAAACAUAAAAACGUCAGGUCAAGGUGUAGCGAAUUAAGUGGAAAGAAAUGGGC